rnacentral:rRNA from 1 species
GACGAACGCUGGCGGCGUGCUUAACACAUGCAAGUCGAACGGAAAGGCCCCGCUUUUGUGGGGUGCUCGUGUGGCGAAGGGGUGUGUAACACGUGAGUAAUCUGCCUUUCUCUGUGUUAUCACCUGAGGAAAGGGGGGAUUAUACCGGAUAGGAGCUCCCGCUGCGGGGGGGGGGUGGGAGAUUCUGGGAGGUGGGGGAUGGACUCGCGCCUUCUGAGCUUGUUGGGGGGGUUGUGGCUCACAAAGGCUUUGAGGGGUAGCCGGCCUGAGGGGGUGACCGGCCACAUUGGGACUGGGAUACGGCCAAGACUCCUACGGGAGGCAGCAGUGGGGAAUGUGGCACAAUGGGCGGAAGCCGAAUGCAGCAACGCCGCGUGCGGAAUGCCGGCCUUCGGGUGGUAAACCGCUUUCGCCUGGGAGGAAGCGUGUGUGACGGUAAUGGGUAAAGAAGCACCGGCUAACUACGUG